rnacentral:misc_RNA from 1 species
UUGGCAUUUGUUAUUGAAGCUUCCAUAUCUCCAUUAGCUACGCAACCAAAUGAUAGUGAGACCGGCCCUAUUCCACAGCCUGAACAAUAUGGGCUCUUACCUGGACAGGUGAUGACUGUUGUUAAGGAUGCCUGCAGGGCUGCUGUUCUCCAGAGUAAACCUCGACUUGUUGAAGCCAUGUACUUCUGUGAGCUGAACACCCCACACGACCAGUUGGGCAACACUUACACAGUUCUUAAUCGUAGGCGUGCUCAUGUGGUAAACGAAGAAAUGCAGGAAGGUUCUUCCUUGUUCACUGUACACGCUUAUGUUCCAGUUGCAGAAAGCUUUGGAUUCUCCGAUGAGUUGAGGAGAAAGACUUCUGGAGCUGCAAGUGCACUACUCGUCCUCAGCCAUUGGGAAGCCCUUCCAGAGGAUCCUUUCUUUGUUCCUAGAACCGAGGAGGAGAAAGAAGAAUUCGGAGAUGGUGCUAGUGUGCCACAGAGUAUAGCAAGAAAACUCAUGGAUUCUGUGAGACGAAAGAAAGGUCUUCCAGUAGAGGAAAAAGUAGUACAAUUCGCGACUAAGCAGAGGACGUUGGCUCGCAAGGUGUAGAAGUUCAAUGCAUGUUUGGUUUGUGUAAACAGUUUAUCUCAGUAUACAUUAGCUUUUUACUGUUAUUCAUUAGAAGCAAAGUUUUGUUAGCAUAUAAUACUGUAAUGACACUGGAGUUCUUUGCAA